rnacentral:rRNA from 1 species
AUGGAUUCCAAGCGCGUGGGUGGUGGCACUUCUGCGUCCACGAAAGAAGGGGCUGAGGCGACAGUUCAUAAUGAUAUGCCAUCCACAGGUGAGACUCUUGGCACAACAGCUCCAGCUUCUGGUGCUCCAGAGGUUGCUAAGGUGACCGUUACGCGAGCUGGUCUUCCACCUAGGCAUUGUAGCCCCUACAAGCAAUCUGCAGACAUACCCAACGCGUCGGCUGUAGCUAGGAGCAGCAGAGAUGGCUCUGGUUAUGUGCCUGUGUCCACACUGUUCCCACCACCUGCCAGAAGCAAUGUUAUGGAGAGAAUGGAAGACCAGAGUACAACCGACCCAGGUGGCAAGCUGGGCACGACUGACGGAGGUGAACGUGCGGAGCAGACUGCGUCUUUACCCGCCGUGGAUAACCACAACUUAAAUCUGCGCACUUCUAAGCCCCCAGUCAACAUCGAUGUCCCCUACAGCCCAAACAAUAAGAUUGCCAAGAAAGCUGCGACUGAUACCGCUGACAGCACGCCCCGCCCUACGAAUAAGCCCGAUGAUUCUGCAGCGGCCGAUGCAGAAAUGUUUGUUGAUCUUUCACCCUUGGAUUCUGCCCAGCAAGUUGUUCGCGGUCCGGUCAGUAGGCAGGAGAGGCACCCAAUGGCCUUCACCCCACCGAGCUUUAGCCUUGGCAUUAGUCAAGAUCAACUAGUGGUGCAAGAUCCUACGCCAGUUGCCUUUGCUUUCCCGGCAGGCAUGGCCCCAAUGAUGGCGCAGCCAAUGGUCGAGGGCAAGAAGGAUGUGAAGUUCGCAGAGCCGAUUGUGCAAGGUACAUUUCUUCUGCGUUUAAGUGUAUACAUCUUUUUAGUCUGA